AAGUGUUACAGCUCUUUUAGAAUUUGUCUAGCAGGUUUUCUGGCUUUUACCAGAAAACCCCC
rnacentral:snRNA from 1 species